rnacentral:miRNA from 1 species
ACUGCCAGAUGUAAUGUUGUGC